rnacentral:lncRNA from 1 species
CCCCCUGGGGGGAAACGGUCGUAUGUUUCCCCUCGCCUUUAUUAGCAUUUAAGACGUACGUUACCUGUAACGUAGGCAUUUAUUCGCCACUACUCCACCCCUGUGCACCGAACCGUUGUGGAGGGCAGCGCACUCUAUAUAAGCCACCCUCCCCCACUAGUGCAGGGGUUAGCAAAUCAUUGUAUUCCAUAUUCCACUCGACAACAAGCUCCCAGAGCA